GGGGAAUAUUGCACAAUGGGGGAAACCCUGAUGCAGCGACGCCGCGUGAGCGAUGAAGGAAUUCGUUUCGUAAAGCUCUGUCCAAGGGGAAGAUAAUGACAGUACCCUUGGAGGAAGCCCCGGCUAAAUACGUGCCAGCAGCCGCGGUAAUACGUAUGGGGCGAGCGUUGUCCGGAAUUAUUGGGCGUAAAGGGUACGUAGGCGGUUAGAUAAGUCAGAUGUAAAAGCGUGGGGCUCAACCCCAUAAAGCAUUUGAAACUGUGUAACUUGAGUAGUGGAGAGGAAAGUGGAAUUCCUAGUGUAGCGGUGAAAUGCGUAGAUAUUAGGAGGAAUACCAGUGGCGAAGGCGACUUUCUGGACACAAACUGACGCUGAGGGACGAAAGCAUGGGGAGCAAAC
rnacentral:rRNA from 1 species